rnacentral:rRNA from 1 species
CGGUGUUUAACUGGCGUGAUGUGGGACGUCCUACCGGUGGGCUUAGCCUCGCGAGGGGCGGCCCAACUAAUAUCCCGUCGCGGUGCUCUUUACUGAGUGUCGAGUCGGGCCGGUACGUUUACUUUGAACAAAUUAGAGUGCUUAAAGCAGGCUAUCCUCGCCUGAAUACUGCGUGCAUGGAAUAAUGGAAUAGGACCUCGGUUCUAUUUUGUUGGUUUUCGGAACCCCGAGGUAAUGAUUAAUAGGGACAGAUGGGGGCAUUCGUAUUGCGACGUUAGAGGUGAAAUUCUUGGAUCGUCGCAAGACGGACAGAAGCGAAAGCAUUUGUCAAAAAUGUUUUCAUUAAUCAAGAACGAAAGUUAGAGGUUCGAAGGCGAUCAGAUACCGCCCUAGUUCUAACCAUAAACGAUGCCAGCUAGCGAUCCGCCGAAGUUCCUCCGAUGACUCGGCGGGCAGCUUCCGGGAAACCAAAGCUUUUGGGUUCCGGGGGAAGUAUGGUUGCAAAGCUGAAACUUAAAGGAAUUGACGGAAGGGCACCACCAGGAGUGGAGCCUGCGGCUUAAUUUGACUCAACACGGGAAACCUCACCAGGCCCAGACACCGGAAGGAUUGACAGAUUGAUAGCUCUUUCUUGAUUCGGUGGGUGGUGGUGCAUGGGCCGUUCUUAGUUGGUGGAGCGAUUUGUCUGGUUAAUUCCGAUAACGAACGAGACUCUAGCCUGCUAAAUAGGCGUACCUUAUGGUAUCGCGAAGGCCCCCGGCUUCGGCCGGUGGGUUUUUACUACCAACGUACAAACAAAUCUUCUUAGAGGGACAGGCGG